rnacentral:rRNA from 1 species
UGGUUCAGGACGAACGCUAGCGGCGUGCUUAACACAUGCAAGUCGAGCGGUAAGGCCCUUCGGGGUACACGAGCGGCGAACGGGUGAGUAACACGUGGGUGAUCUGCCUUGCACUUCGGGAUAAGCCUGGGAAACCGGGUCUAAUACCGGAUAUGACCACGAGAUGCAUGUCUUGUGGUGGAAAGAUUUAUCGGUGCGAGAUGGGCCCGCGGCCUAUCAGCUUGUUGGUGAGGUAACGGCUCACCAAGGCGACGACGGGUAGCCGACCUGAGAGGGUGACCGGCCACACUGGGACUGAGACACGGCCCAGACUCCUACGGGAGGCAGCAGUGGGGAAUAUUGCACAAUGGGCGAAAGCCUGAUGCAGCGACGCCGCGUGCGGGAUGACGGCCUUCGGGUUGUAAACCGCUUUUGACAGGGACGAAGCGCAAGGACUGUACCUGUAGAAUAAG